rnacentral:rRNA from 1 species
GAUUGAACGCUGGCGGCGUGCCUAACACAUGCAAGUCGAGCGGUAACAGGUGUAGCAAUACAUGCUGACGAGCGGCGGACGGGUGAGUAACGCUUGGGAAUCUGCCUAUUAGUGGGGGACAACCCGGGGAAACUCGGGCUAAUACCGCAUACGCUCUACGGAGGAAAGCCGGGGACCGCAAAGGCCUGGCGCUAAUAGAUGAGCCCAAGUCGGAUUAGCUAGUUGGUAGGGAACGGCCUACCAAGGCUACGAUCCGUAACUGGUCUGAGAGGACGACCAGUCACACCGGAACUGAGACACGGUCCGGACUCCUACGGGAGGCAGCAGU